GGGCUGGCAGGGCCUCGAGGAGAGAGUGGCGGGUAGAGGGGUCAGGAGGCAGAGCUUUAGCUUGUUAACCUUGGGGGUUCACGGAGGGGUUUCAAAAGGGGAGUGACAUGGACAGAUUUGUAUUUUAGGAUGUUCAUUCUAACUGCGGAGACAGAGCCCACUGCAGUCAGGGAGACCGGUUUGGGGAAUGUGCAGCUGUGGGGGGGAGGCAAGGGUGGUAGUGAUGGUGGGGAGGGGCCUGGCCCUAGACUGAAUAGGGGGCUGCUGUUAGGGCUGAGGCAAGAAGACACAGCAGACAGAGGGGUGCAUUCUGCGUGUGGGGAGCAGAGGGAAGAGCAGAGGGCAGAGAAGGAGGCAGAGGAAGUGGCCCUGGAGGCAGGAGGAGGCCCAGGGAGCCCAGUGUCCUGAAGUCGAGCAGGGUGGUGGGCAGCGUUUUGUCCAGGGGAGGGAGGCCAGGAGGUCCUGGAAGGAGAAGGAUUUCAGAGUUCAGGGUCAGAGGUGGGGUCGCUCUGGCCACUGUGCUUGAAGGGGUGAUGGCUGUGCUUGUGGGUAGCUGAGGUGGAGGGGGAUGAAAGUCUUUCCAGGGGGAGGUUGAGGUGCAUUGUGACCCAGAAUUGAGAGGACACCACCCAGUGUACAGACCUCCCCGAUGGCGGGAGAGGUGGGAGGAGGAAACUGUGAGCCAGAGCUGAAGGCGAGAGCAUCCUGGGCUCAGGAACCGAUGGCAACGUGGAGGGGAGAUGGAAGGGCCCAGAAAUGGUUCAGAAGAAGGCUGCAGGCCUAGACUGGAGCUUCAUGAAGGAAGGAACCAGAGUAUCACCAGCACCUGACACUUGGGUUUGAGGCACAGGCCAGGUGCUGAGUGUCAGUGGAAGGCAGGCAAGGGGUGUUCCAGUUGGGCAUGCAUCCUGGAUCCUCACUCCCCUCCUCCCUGCAGCCCUGGAGGGAGCCUGGGAUUUAAAGGGGAUAUAUAUAUGUAUAGCUGACUCACUUUGUUAUAAAGCAGAAACUAACACUCCAUUGUAAAACAAUUAUACUCUAAUAAAGGUGUUAAAAAAAAAAGUUACCUCAAAAAUAAAUAAAUAAAUAAAGGGCAGAUCCGGUGAGAAGGAGGCAGUGGGAGCUCAUUAAGAAAUGUUUUGGGAAAAUGGAGGCGGUAUCCAGAUAGAACGCUUGUCCCUGGGGGGCACUCACUCUAGAGAGAUUUGUUUUCACCCUUCCCCAAAUCAGGGCUUGAGUCCUUGGGGCCUGGCUGGACCCGCAUCUGCUGGUCUGCCGAGGAAUGGAAGACUCCCCAGUGAAGUACACGGUUUCCUCUGGGCCACAUGACACGUUGCAGUUCAGGAAAACACUGCCUGUGGGUUCAGGAACCUGACCCUCUGGCCUUUUGUCUGGAUGCCAUUUGCUUGCUCUGAAGAAGCGGGCAUUCCAGAAAGCAGAGGUCAGUGUUGGAUGUCGGACAAACCCUGUGUGUCUUUGCUGCUCCUUGGAAUCACAGCGUUUGGCCCUGGGAGAAGGGAAGAACGUUGCCAGCAAGGCAGUUUUUUGUAAAGAGGAGAUCGGUUUCGCUGACAUCAUUAAAACCCCUCUUUCAGGUCACAUGCUGGGCCAUUUUCUCAGACCAUUUCCCUCCACUGACCCAGCCUAGCCUAAGCCACUGCCAUCUCUCCUCCGAUCACAUUUCCCCACGUUCAAUCCCGGCCCCUCAACCUCCUCUCUGUAUUCGGAGACAUCUUUCUAAAGCCAAAAUCCGACUGUGUCCCUGUCCUGCCUAGAACCUUCUUAGGUUCAGUGCUCCUAGGAUGCCGACCUGCCUCUUUUACCCAGCUGGCCAGGCUCUGCAUGAUGGGCCAGCAGUAGACCUCCGGCCGCAGCCCACCGCUCCAUGCUGCCCCGCAGCCUCCCUGGUCUCCCUGCCUUCCCCCGUGCUGUGCUCUCCACCUGGAAUGCCCACCUCUUCCCCAUCACAGGCGAUUCCUCCUCCUCUGUCAGGAGAUGGAGUGAGCAGCUUAGAUCUCAGGGUGCUGCAGGUUCCCCUCGGUUCCCUCUCACCUCACCAUCUACCACUGCUCAUGUACAGUGCUCUUCACCACUGUGCUGAAAUGUCACGACUUUGGAAAGUCUGAACGAUUAGUGUUUCAAGUCUGUCUCCCUCCUAGAUUAUAAACUCCGUGGAUGCAGGGAUCAUGCCAGUACCCCAUAUCCUGUGACCUAGCACAGUGCCUGAUGUUAUUUGUUGAAUAUAUGUAGGAUGUAGUAGUAAUAAUAAUAAUAGUAAGGUCCCACUGAAUACUCUUGACGUCUACGCUACCCUGCCUCUCCGUUAAAAAAACGGAAUCAGGUAGUAGCGGGUGAGCCAGCUGCCCUCCAGUUGGGCCGAGACCUGGGGAGGAUGGCUCCAGCGUUUCAGUGUUGAUGUUAGUUAGCAACAGAAGCCUGAGCAGCUGUCUUUCUCAUCUGUUACUGCUCUGAGUUUGCAUUUGUUAUUUGCUUCUCAUUUCCUAGUAAUCACUCUAUCCUUUGUAAGGAUUUCUUGUCACAAUGAAAACAAAGUGGGAACGGGCUUUCCCCCAGCUCCCUUCAUGAUGGAGACAGAGGUUGGAGUCCCUCUCUGGGCCCCAGAGAAAGACCUGCCUGAAGGGUGGGGAGAGCCGUCUGGGGCAGGAGUCGGGUCUGGCUGCAGACAUAGGCCAGCAGCACAUUUGAUCCAAUGAAACCAACACUGCAAUUUCCAGACUCAUUUUUUUUCCCUUCUUGAGUGUGGGUAUGACAUUAGUGCUGGUUAGAAACCAAAUUUCCCUUUAAAUGAAUUAAUAACACAAAACAGAACAUUUGGCGAACAGCUGUUUUCGUCCAUGGGGACUUGCCUCCUGGUUGCGAUUCUGUCUGCGAGAAAAACAGGGUUCACUUAGACUCUUGCUGCAGGAGCAACUGCCUGAUUGCAGGCAGUUUGGUGGGAUGGGAGGCUCACGCUUCGGAGGCAGGAAGAUCUGCAUUUGAAGCCUGGCUCCGCUGCUCUCCAGCUGUGUGAUCAUGGCAGGUUCAUUUACCUCCCUGGGCCUCGUUUCCUUAAUUGUAAAAUGGAAAUGAUACCCUCACAUGUCUGCAAAAUGGAGCUGAUGAUAUGACUACCUCAAAAAGUUGGACAUGAGGAUGGAGUGAGAUUUUUUCAGCUUUAUUGAGGCAUAAUUGACAUAUAAUAAAUCAUGCGUAAAUAAAGCCAAUAAUUUGAUGAGUUUGGAUGUAUGUAUAUACAUGUGAAACCAUCAUCAAAUCAAGAUAAUAAACAUACCCAUCACCCAGAAAGUUUCUUUGUGCUCCUUGCAGCCCCUCCCUCCUCUCCACUCCCACCGCUGUCUUCUUAAAAUCAGGUAAUAUAAGUCCUUAAAAUGUGUUCUUCUAUUUCAAAAUGGUUUUGGCUAUUCUAGUCCUUUGCAUUUCCAUAGGAAUUUUCAAAUCAGCUUGUUAGGUUUUACAAAACUUGCUAGGCUAUGAUUGUGAUUGGGUUGACUCCAUAGAUCAAUCUGGGGAAAAUUGGCGUCUUUACAAUACUGCGUCCCUGGAACCAUGAACAUAGUAUGCACAUCCAUGUAUUUAGGUCUUCUUUAAGUUAUUUUAGUAACGCUAUAUACUUUUCAGUGUAUAGGUCUUACACAUCUUUUGUCAGAUUUAUUCCUAAGUAUUUCAUUUUCCAUGCUGUUGUAAAUGUUAUUUUAUUUAAAUUCCAAUUGUUCAUUACUAGUUUAUAGAAAUAUGACUGAUUUUUGUAAAUUGACCUGUAUCCUACAACUUUGCUGAACUCACUUAUUCUAGGAGCUUUUUUUUGUAGAUUCUAUAGGAUUUUCUACAAGAUGAUGAUAGCUCUGUGAAUAACAACAGUUUAGUUUCUUUCUUUCUAAACUAGAUGCUUUUAUUUCUUUUCCUUGUCUUAUUAACUGGCUAUAAUCUCUAGUACCAUGUUGAGCAGAAGCGAUGAGAGCAGAUAUCUUUGGCUUGUUUCUAGUCUUAGAGGAAAAGUGGCCUUUCAUUUUUAAGUAUGAUAUUAGCUGUAAGCUCUAGGUUUUUUAUACGUGGCUUUUAUCAGAUUGAGGGUGUUCCCUCCUAAUCCCAAUUUGCUGAGAAUUUUUGUCUGGAAUGGAUAUUGGGUUUUAUCAAAUGUUUUUCCUACAUCUAUUGAGAUAAUCAUAUGUUGGGUUUUUUUUUUUCAGUCUGUUGCUAAGGAGAAUUACAUGAUGGAUUUUUUGAAUGCAUUCCUGUGAUAAACCCCACUUGGUCAUGAUGUAGAAUCGUUUUUGUAUAUUGUUGGAUUUGAUUUGCUAAAAUUUUGCUAAGAAUUUUUGCAUCUGUGUUCAUGAUGAGGAAUACUGGUCUGUAUUUUUCUUUCCUUGAAAUGUCUUUUUCUCGUUUGAAUAUCAGUUUUUUAAAUAUCUGGUUUUAAUAUAUUUCUGGUGUAAUACUGACCUCAUAAAACAAGUUAGGAAGCAUUCUUUCCUUUUCAAUUUUCCAGAAGAGUUUAUUGGUAGAAUUGGUAUGAUUUCUUUUGUAAAUAUUUGGUAGAUUUCAUCCGUAGAGCCACCUGGACCUGGAAUUUUCUUUGUGGAAAGGUUUUUGUUUUUUCCUUUUAAAUAGACUACUUUUAAGAGCAGUUUUAGCUCACAGCAAAACUGAGCAGAAAUUAGAGAGUGUUCCCAUAUACCCCUUGUCCCCACCCCGACCCCCGACCGUUUUUUCCACUAUCAACAUCCCCAUCAGAGUGGUACAUUCAUUUCAUCGAUGAACCUACUUGACACAUCAUUAUUACCCAACAUCCAUAGUUUACAUUAGGGUUCACUCUUGGUGAACCCUUGUACAUUUUAUGGGUUUUGACAAAUGCAUAAUGACAUGUAUCCACCAUUAUAGUAUCAUACAGAAUAGUUUCCCUGCCCUAAAAAUCCUUUCUCUAUUCAUCCCUCUCUCUCCCCCUUGGCAACCACUGACCUUUUCAGUGUCUCCAUAGCUUUGCCUUUUCCAGCCCGUCAUAGAGUUGGAAUCGUACAGUUUUAUGGCCUUCUUUCACUUAGUAAUAUGCAUUUAAGCCUCUUCCAUGUCUUUUCAUGGCUUGAUUAACAUUUCAUUUUAGCACUGAAUAAUAUUCGAUCGUCUGGAUGUACCACAGUUUAUCCAUUCACCUGUCUUACUGAGAGACAUCUUGGUUGCUUCCAAGUUUUGGCAAUUAUGAAUAAAGCUGCUAUAAACAUCCAAAUGCAGUUUUUUUAUGUGUAGGUAUAAGUUUUCAUCCCCUUUGGGUAAAUACCAUGGAGUGCAAUUGCUAGAUUAUUGUGGAACGGUUUUUAACUAUGAAUUCAAUUUCUCUAAUAGAUGUAGAGUAUUCAUGUAGUAUAUUUCUUUUUUUUAGUGAGCUUUGGUUGUGUUUUUCAAUGAGUUUGUCUAUUUUGUCUAAGUUGUUAAAUUUAUUCCCAUGAAGUUGUUCAUAAUAUUCCCUUACCCUUUUAAUAUCUAUAGGAUCUGUAAUCAUUUCCACUUCCUCAUUCCUGGUAUUGAUAAUUUGUGUCUCCUUUUUUCUGAUCAGUCUGGCUAAGGUUAUCAAUUUUAUUGAUCUCAGAAAAAGAGCAUUUGCUUCCAUUAGUUUUUUCUAUUGCUUUUAUGUUUGGUAAUUCAUUGAUUUCUGUUCAUAUUUUUUUAAAAAAACAUUUCCUUUCUUCUGCUUACUUUGGGUUUAAUUCACUCUUCUAGCUUCUUAAAGUGGAAGCUGAGGUCAAUGAUUUGAGACCUUUCUUCAUUUCUAAUGUAGGCAUCUGGUGCUAUAAAUUUCUUUUUAAGCAUUGCUUUAGCUUUAUCCCACACAUUUUGGUAUUUUGGACUUCUACCUUCAUUCAGUUCAAAAUGUUUUCUAAUUUUCCUUUUGAUUUCUUUUUGAUCUGUGAAUUAUUAAAAAUGUGUUACUUAGUUUCUAAGUAUUUGGGGAUUUUCUAGGUAUUUUAUGCUAUUGAUUUCUAAUUCCGUUGUGUUUAGAGAACAUACUUUGUAUGGUUUGAAAUUAUUUUAAAUUUAUUGAGAUUUUAUGUAUGGCAUAACUAUGGUCAAUCUUGAUAAAGUUCUGAGUGAAUUUGAAAAAAAUGUGUAUUCUGCAGUUUUUGCAUAGAGCACUCUAUGAAUAUAAUUGAGGUCAAGUGGGUUAAUAGUAUUAUUGAAGUCAUCUAUGUCCUAACCUAACUGAUUUGCUACUUAUUUGUUCUAUUGAUUAUUGAGAGAAGAGUAUUGAAAUCUGCCAUUAUAAUUGUAGAUUUGUUGAUUUCUCUUUAAAUUCUAUCAGUUUUUGCUUUAUGCAUUUUUAAAUUCUAGUAUUAGCUGCAUAAACAUUUACAAUUAGGUCUUCCUAUUGAAUUUACCCUUCAUCAUUAUGAAAUGACCCACCUUAUCCCUGGAACUAUUCUUUGCCCUGAAAUCUACUUUGUUUGAUAGUAUAGCCGUCUUUCUUUUGAUCAGUGUUAGCAUGUGCCAUGGUCUGAACGUACCUCCCAAACUCAUAUGUUGAAAUCCAGACACCCACAGUGAUGGGAUUAGAACAUGGGGCCUUUGGGUGGAUCCCUCAUUAUUGGGAUUAGUGCCGUUAAAAAGAGACCCCAGAGAGCUAGCUCAUCCCUUCUACCAUGUGAGGACACAGUGAAAAGAUGAACCAAGAAGUGGGCCCUUACCAGACACUGAGUCUACCAGCAUAUCCUGGACUUCCCAGUCUCCAGAACUGUGAGAAAUAAGUUUCUGUUGUUUAUAAGCCACUCUAUUUAUGGUAUUUUUGUUAUAGCAGCCUGAACAGACUAAGAGAGCAUGAUAUAUAUUUUUCAUCCUGUUACUUUCAACCUAUUUGUAACUUUAUAUUUAAAGUGGGUUUGUUGUAGGAAGCAUAUAGUUGAGUCCUGCUUUUUUUCCCAAUCUGACCACCUCUGCCUUUUAAUCGGGGUACUUAGACUAUUUAUAUUAAAUGUGAUUACUGAUUUGGUUGGAUUUAACUCUAUUCUUGUUCCCUCUUUCCUCUUCUUCUGACUUCUUUUUAAGUAAUUGAGCAUAUUUCAUGAUUCCAUUUAAUCUCUUUUAUUGGCUAACUAGGUAUAAUUUCUUUUAGUGGUUGGUUUAGAGUUUAUAAUAUACAUCUUUAACAUAUAACAGUUUACUUUCAAGUGAUAAUAUACCAUUUCAUAUUUAAUAUAAGAACUUUAGAAGAGUGUACUUCUAUUUACCUCUCUCCCAUUCUUUGUAGUAUUGUCAUACAUUUUACUUCUACAUAUGUAAUAAUCUUCUCAAGACAUUGUUCUUGUAUUUGCAUUAAAUAAUUAUCUGUUAAAGUCCCUUAUCUUUUAAAGAGAUUUUUAAAAGUACGUAUAUUUGUAGUGAGGUGGAUGGACCUACAGUCUGUCAUACAGAGUGAAGUAAGUCAGAAAGAGAAAAAUACCGUAUGCUAACACAUAUAUCUGGAAUGUAAAAAAAAAAAAAAAAGGUUAUGAAGAACCUAGGGGCAGGACAGGAAUAAAGACGCAGACAUAGAGAAUGGACUUGAGGACACAGGGAGGGGGAAGUGUAAGCUGGGACGAAGUGGGAGGGUGGCAUGGACUUAUAUAUGCUACCAAAUGUAAAACAGAUAGCUAGUGGGAAGCGGCUGCAUAGCACAGGGAGAUCAGCUCGGUGCUUUGUGACCACCUAGAGGGGUGGGAUAGGGAGGGUGGGAGGGAGAUGCAAGAGGGAGGAGAUAUGGGGAUAUAUGUAUAUGUAUAGCUGAUUCACUUUGUUAUAAAGCAGAAACUAACACACCAUUAUAAAGC